UGUAGCUUCUGAGAUUUUAACUCAGAACUCUUGCUUGCAAAGCAAGCGUUUUCCAGUUAAACUAAAACCAC
rnacentral:tRNA from 1 species